rnacentral:rRNA from 1 species
CCUACGGGUGGCAGCAGUGAGGAAUAUUGGUCAAUGGGCGCGAGCCUGAACCAGCCAAGUAGCGUGAAGGAUGACUGCCCUACGGGUUGUAAACUUCUUUUAUAAAGGAAUCAAGUGAGGCACGUGUGCCUCUUUGUAUGUACUUUAUGAAUAAGGAUCGGCUAACUCCGUGCCAGCAGCCGCGGUAAUACUGAGGAUCCGAGCGUUAUCCGGAUUUAUUGGGUUUAAAGGGAGCGGAGAUGGGUUGUUAAGUCAGUUGUGAAAGUUUGCGGCUCAACCGUAAAAUUGCAAUUGAUACUGGCAGUCGUGAGUACAGUUGAGGUAGGCGGAAUUCGUGGUGUAGCGGUGAAAUGCUUAGAUAUCACGAAGAACUCCGAUUGCGAAGGCAGCUUACUAAACUGCCACUGACAUUGAUGCUCGAAAGUGUGGGUAUCGAACAGGAUUAGAUACCCGAGUAGUC